UAGAACUUCCUCUUGGCAUCCUUUGCCACUC
rnacentral:piRNA from 1 species